GACGUAGGGCGCGAGCGUUGUCCGGAUUUAUUGGGCGUAAAGAGCUCGUAGGCGGCUUGUCGCGUCGACCGUGAAAACUUGGGUCUCAACUCCAAGCCUGCGGUCGAUACGGGCAGGCUAGAGUUCGGUAGGGGAGACUGGAAUUCCUGGUGUAGCGGUGAAAUGCGCAGAUAUCAGGAGGAACACCGGUGGCGAAGGCGGGUCUCUGGGCCGAUACUGACGCUGAGGAGCGAAAGCGUGGGGAGCGAACAGG
rnacentral:rRNA from 1 species